rnacentral:rRNA from 1 species
GGAAUCUUCCACAAUGGACGAAAGUCUGAUGGAGCAACGCCGCGUGAGUGAAGAAGGUUUUCGGAUCGUAAAGCUCUGUUGUUGGUGAAGAAGGAUAGAGGCAGUAACUGGUCUUUAUUUGACGGUAAUCAACCAGAAAGUCACGGCUAACUACGUGCCAC